rnacentral:rRNA from 1 species
GAUGAACGCUGGCGGCGUGCCUAAUACAUGCAAGUCGAGCGAACAGACGAGGAGCUUGCUCCUCUGACGUUAGCGGCGGACGGGUGAGUAACACGUGGAUAACCUACCUAUAAGACUGGGAUAACUUCGGGAAACCGGAGCCAAUACCGGAUAAUAUAUUGAACCGCAUGGUUCAAUAGUGAACGACGGUUUUGAUGUCACUUAUAGAUGGAUCCGCGCCGCAUUAGCUAAUUGGUAAGGUAACGGCUUACCAAGGCAACGAUGCGUAGCCGACCUGAGAGGAUGAUCGGCCACACUGGAACUGAGACACGGUCCAGACUCCUACGGGAGGCAGCAGUAGGGAAUCUUCCGCAAUGGGCGAAAGCCUGACGGAGCAACGCCGCGUGAGUGAUGAAGGUCUUCGGAUCGUAAAACUCUGUUAUUAGGGAAGAACAAAUGUGUAAGUAACUAUGCACGUCUUGACGGUACCUAAUCAGAAAGCAACGGCUAACUACGUG